GCUUAUGGAUGAGCAGAAAAAGUGGUUUCUUGAGAUAGAAUCUACUCCUGGUGAAGAUAUUGUGGU
rnacentral:pre_miRNA from 1 species